rnacentral:lncRNA from 1 species
AUAAAUAUGAAUUUCAAGCAAAGGUCAAAAUCUAGAACGUCAAAUUUGCCUAUGACCUUGACCUCAAUUUCAAGGUCAUAAACUAAGGACCUCAAGUCAAGAGACCCUAGGUCCAUAAUAUGUAAAGAUAAUGAGUUAUAUCACUUAACGCAUUAUUCUAAAUAUAAAAGGGGAGAAAACUCCCAUUUACAGUCAAUGUACCCUCGAAAUUAAAAUUUAAGUGUUACGACUUGUCACUACUAACAAUUUAGUAAAGAUAAUUUGUCGAUAUCUUUUACGGUUAUUGAAAAUAAGUGAAUAUAAGCCAAAAUCAAAAUUUAGAAAAUGACCUUGACCUUUGACCUUGACCUAAUUUUCAUUUUUUUGGACUAAGGACCUCAAAUCUAAAGACCCUAGGUCUCUAUCACUUAUAGUUUACCAGUUAGAAGUGCAUAUUACUUAUAUCAAACAUAAAAGGGGUGAAAACUCUCAUAUGGAAUCUAUAUACGGCUUCGGUCAAAAUAAAACAGAACAUCCUGAGGAUAUAACGAGCAAUUUGAUAAAAUAAAUUUUUCGGUUUCUUAUACGGUUGCGAAGCCUUAGAGAUCACAAGAAAAACAGUGUUCGGGGAGAUAACUCUUAUAUGGGAAAGUAUUCGGUAAAGCGGUGUCAGUUUCAAAAGCGUAUAUAAACUGUUCAAUAUCACAUUCCAAAUAUCUAAGCGACAUCUUGCGAAACAAAAAAACAGCGAAGAAAAAAAAUUAGGCGGAAGAAAAAAAAAUUAAAUAAUAAUCAGAAGAAAAUCAAUAGGUGUUUCCACGGAAAAGUGGAAAGACCUAAUUACAAAUAAUCAUAUACAAACAACAUGCGUUAUGAUUUACACAGAGACAGUCAAUAAAGACGGGAUCACGACGAAAAGUUCAAUUAUUUACAUAUGUUCUUUACAGUUUGAAGAUAGUUUAUGUACUACUAGCAGCAGUUGUGGUUCUAUAACAAUUUACAAGAAUUGUAAAUAAAGUUCAAACACAUGAAGUUAAACUGUUCACGUUCUUAUUCUUUAGAUCAAAAUCGGUGUCACAGGCAAGAAUACAAUUAAGCAAUUUAUUGCCAGUCAUAUUUCCAAAGUGAACACUAAAUGUAAUCGGGUUCAUGUCUAUAACACUCCUCCAAAAUUGAUCUCGAGCAUCAACUGUAUAGUACAAGGAUCAUCAAAAAGUUUACC